AUUGAACGCUGGCGGCAGGCUUAACACAUGCAAGUUGAGCGAGCGGCGGACGGGCGAGUCAUGUCUGGGAAACUCCCUGAUGGAGGGGGCCAACCACUGGAAACGGUAGCUAAUACCGCAUACCACCAGACGUGCCCAGAUGGGAUUAGCUAGUAGGUGUGGUAAUGGCUCACCUUGGCGACGAUCCCGCGCCGGUCUGAGAGGGUGACCUGCAAGACGGGAACUGGUAGUCGGUCCAGACUCCUACGGGAGGCAGCAGUGGGGAAUAUUGCAGAAUGGGCGCAAGCGUUGUGGAUCCAUGCCGCGAGUGUGAAGAAGGCCUUCGGGUUGUAAAGCACUUGCAGCGAGGAGGCGUUACUCGCAGAAGAAGCACCGGCUAACUCCGUGCCAGCCGCCGCGGUAAUUC
rnacentral:rRNA from 1 species